rnacentral:SRP_RNA from 2 species
GCUCGAGCCCUGUGCACUGCGGUUCCGUGAACCCCGCCAGGCCCGGAAGGGAGCAACGGUAAGCGGGUCGCCGCAGGUGCCGCAGGUCCACUCGAGUCCC